UGAUGUAAGAGCAGUAUCUUUGGGCCAAGUGCACGAACACCCAAGGGACUUCUGCAAAGCACACGCCAUUCACUCUGAUGUAGAAGUCCUGCCUCAUUUAAAAAAGAAGCGGGAGAAGGCCCUGCCCAUUUCUGCACACAUUCAGGUUUUACCCGUUGCCUUGAUAGGGAUCUUCGGUUUGGGCUCAGACAUCACAGGGUAACUGCAGCUCCGCGCACCUGCUCGGGGACGGGGGUUGCGAAUGUUUCAGUACUAAGGCAAAGCCAAGUGAGUGUUAGCUUGUCAUUUUUUCAAAAUAUCGGAUCUCCUGCCCAGCUCCAGAGGGAACAGGUUGAACCUUGUACCCGAAGACAAUCUGAAAUUUUAGAGAAAGCAUACAUUGGGAUUCCGACACAGCAAGAUUCAAAUCCCAGCUCCACUUAUGAGCAAGGAUGAGGCUCUGAUCUUCCCAUAUGGAAAAUGGGUAUAAUAAUGCCCAUCUCAGAGCGGUUUUAUAAAAACCACUGUAUAGUCCUUGGAAUAUAGUAAGCAAGACACAGUGGCUGCUAUUAGCCACCCGUGUUUUGGACUUUUGCCUUCUGGAGUUUUUACCUUCCUCCCUACCCCCUCUUUGAAUAACAACUGUUGAAUUUCAGAAUCCGAAAAGCCUUGCCAGUGCCCAAAUUCUCAUUGAGCUAAGUCAUAGAAGCUUACACAUGUUUAUAGGAUUCUAAUGCCAAGUCUUUACUGUCAGCAGUUUCAAAGGACCUAGAGGUUUUUGAAUGAAGUUGUUAAUGGUACUUUAUUCCUUAUGCAUAAUCUGAACAAUCACAGACACUUCAGAAAUGCCUUCU